GUAGGGAAUCUUGCACAAUGGGCGAAAGCCUGAUGCAGCAACGCCGCGUGAAGGAUGAAGGCCUUCGGGUUGUAAACUUCUGUUCUAAGGGAAGAAACAAAUGACGGUACCUUAGGAGCAAGCCCCGGCUAACUACGUGCCAGCAGCCGCGGUAAUACGUAGGGGGCAAGCGUUAUCCGGAAUUAUUGGGCGUAAAGAGUGCGUAGGUGGUUACCUAAGCGCAAGGUUUAAUUUAGAGGCUCAACCUCUACUUGCCUUGCGAACUGGGCUACUUGAGUGCAGGAGGGGAAAGCGGAAUUCCUAGUGUAGCGGUGAAAUGCGUAGAUAUUAGGAGGAACACCAGCGGCGAAGGCGGCUUUCUGGACUGUAACUGACACUGAGGAACGAAAGCGUGGGUAGCAAACAGGAUUAGAUACCCUAGUAGUCC
rnacentral:rRNA from 1 species